AGACUGAUCUGUUUAACCUCAGUA
rnacentral:siRNA from 1 species